UUUGUCGAGUUCGGUUAUGUUUUUAAACGCAGCGUUUCUCAAGUCGAUUAGGGGCUUUGGCUUAUUGUUCUCUGACUGUUUACUUUCGUCGUCGUCUCCGUUCAUCUUCUCUGCAAACACCAAAACUUUUUUUCUCCAAACUCUUAAUCUUCGCUGUUGUUCAACGUAUUUUAUCUUGAUUUCAUCCGUUAUCCAUUGACAUAGGAAUUUCUUCCUUCGAGACUCCCCUUCUCUCUAUAUUAAACCAGAUGCAAGUGAAAGAAACUCUAAACUAGAGAAUUAAGAUUCACACUACAAAAACUUGACUUCAAGCGAUCUCAGGGAUCCAAACCGGAAAACAAAGCACCAUAGCUAGCUAUUUCGAGCAAAGAUAUUGUGUCUCUUCUCUCUUGACCAUGGUCUCAAAUCUCUGCUCCAAAAGCCAAAACGAAGGGUAUUCGUAUCAACCAUAAGGUAAAUGGAAAAUCCAUAUUCGCUCGAACGUCAUGUUUCAAUUUUGUAAUAGCUUUCCUACCAAUUAGUGGUUUAGUUUGCAAGUUUAUGCGAACUCAUUAACAUGUAUUAUUUGCAUAAAAAUCUCUCUUCUUCGCUGAUUCAAGUUAGAAUUUUAUGCUAAUUGAAUAUGUUAAUUAGCUUUUGAACUUCAUGUUUCACCUUUAAUUUGCUUAAACUCUUUUUUUCACUGAUCAAGCCCGAGUGUUAGGUGUGAGUUAGUUGUGUGCAUGCAUAUAUUUGGUUCACAGAUGUUUUCUUCUAAUUAUGAAAGUUGAGAUUUUGGAGGCGUGGAACAUGUGAGUCAGUCUCCACGUCAAACUAACCGUAGCACUGAGUGAGCAGACAUGAACGUCAAAUUCCCUUGCUCUUUUAUUAUAAUCUCAUGUCUAAAUUUCUACUAACCAUUGUAUUCUUAUGGAUUUGGAAGGUCUGACAAUCACACACUCACUCGGUGAUUUCUGCAGCUACUUUUAUGGGUGUGCAGUGCUGUUCCUCCGAAACUCACGGCUGGUCUUAUCUUUGAAAACCCUCUGGACGCUUAGAUCUAAGCUUCGGAUUCAUUGCUUGCACCAGAUCAGCAAUAUGCUUUGUAGUGUCUAUUAAUGGUUGGAAUCGGGAUAAUACAGUUUCCUACCUGUUUCCAAGAAGCAGCUCUCGCUUGCAGCAUGUUAUUGCAGAGUAUUCUUCUUUCCAUAGAAUCAAAAUUGGUUUGGGACCCGACGGGAAGCUAAAAUUUCCGUCUCAUAAACACGAGACAUAUGCUUUCUGCUCUUGGACAGUACGCUAUAUCCAUAAGAAACCUCUUUGGUACUCAUGAGGUGGUUAGCAGCAGCCAACGAUCCGUAAGUGAAAGGGAAGGUGGACUCUCGAACGCAUCUUCAAGUGAGACGGUUGUUGCUGUGAAUCUGGGAAUGGGAGGUGAUGAAGGAAAUACGUAUGAAGUUGAGAACGUUGAGAAAGUGGCAAACGCAAUCGUGAGUGAAAAGAUACUAUGGAGUUCUUCAUCCCUUAAGCAAUCGUUUAUAUCCUGUUAUUGGGAUUUUGUAUCAUGUGUUUUUAUCUUUUAUAUCCUCGCCAAACUUGAUGAUAUUUUACUGGAAUAGUCACGUGUUGUCAUAGUUAAUAAUAGUUUGCAUC